rnacentral:rRNA from 1 species
CCCUUAGACGUUCUGGGCCGCACGCGCGCUACACUGACGAAGGCAACGAGCUUUCCUUUACCGAAAGGUACGGGUAAUCUUUUGAAACUUCGUCGUGCUGGGGAUAGAUCCUUGCAAUUUUUGAUCUUAAACGAGGAAUUCCUAGUAAGCGCAAGUCAUCAACUUGCGUUGAUUACGUCCCUGCCCUUUGUACACACCGCCCGUCGCUACUACCGAUUGAAUGGUUUAGUGAGGCCUUCGGAUCCGCGACUCGUUUUGUGGAGAAGUUGGACAAACUCAGUCAUUGAGAGGAAGUAAAAGUCGUAACA